GUGGGGAAUAUUGGACAAUGGGGGGAACCCUGAUCCAGCCAUGCCGCGUGUGUGAAGAAGGCCUUUUGGUUGUAAAGCACUUUAAGCGAGGAGGAGGCUACCGAGAUUAAUACUCUUGGAUAGUGGACGUUACUCGCAGAAUAAGCACCGGCUAACUCUGUGCCAGCAGCCGCGGUAAUACAGAGGGUGCAAGCGUUAAUCGGAUUUACUGGGCGUAAAGCGCGCGUAGGUGGCCAAUUAAGUCAAAUGUGAAAUCCCCGAGCUUAACUUGGGAAUUGCAUUCGAUACUGGUUGGCUAGAGUAUGGGAGAGGAUGGUAGAAUUCCAGGUGUAGCGGUGAAAUGCGUAGAGAUCUGGAGGAAAACCGAUGGCGAAGGCAGCCAUCUGGCCUAAUACUGACACUGAGGUGCGAAAGCAUGGGGAGCAAACAGGAUUAGAAACCCUUGUAGUCC
rnacentral:rRNA from 1 species